GAUCCUGGCUCAGAUUGAACGCUGGCGGCAGGCCUAACACAUGCAAGUCGAGCGGUAGCACAGAGAGCUUGCUCUCGGGUGACGAGCGGCGGACGGGUGAGUAAUGUCUGGGAAACUGCCUGAUGGAGGGGGAUAACUACUGGAAACGGUAGCUAAUACCGCAUAACGUCGCAAGACCAAAGUGGGGGACCUUCGGGCCUCAUGCCAUCAGAUGUGCCCAGAUGGGAUUAGCUAGUAGGUGGGGUAACGGCUCACCUAGGCGACGAUCCCUAGCUGGUCUGAGAGGAUGACCAGCCACACUGGAACUGAGACACGGUCCAGACUCCUACGGGAGGCAGCAGUGGGGAAUAUUGCACAAUGGGCGCAAGCCUGAUGCAGCCAUGCCGCGUGUGUGAAGAAGGCCUUCGGGUUGUAAAGCACUUUCAGCGGGGAGGAAGGCGGUGAGGUUAAUAACCUUGUCGAUUGACGUUACCCGCAGAAGAAGCACCGGCUAACUCCGUGCCAGCAGCCGCGGUAAUACGGAGGGUGCAAGCGUUAAUCGGAAUUACUGGGCGUAAAGCGCACGCAGGCGGUCUGUCAAGUCGGAUGUGAAAUCCCCGGGCUCAACCUGGGAACUGCAUUCGAAACUGGCAGGCUAGAGUCUUGUAGAGGGGGGUAGAAUUCCAGGUGUAGCGGUGAAAUGCGUAGAGAUCUGGAGGAAUACCGGUGGCGAAGGCGGCCCCCUGGACAAAGACUGACGCUCAGGUGCGAAAGCGUGGGGAGCAAACAGG
rnacentral:rRNA from 1 species